rnacentral:tRNA from 1 species
GCUCUUAUAGUUUAAAAAAAACAUUGGUCUUGUAAACCAAUAAUGAGAAUUUCUCUUAGAGCU